UGCAAGCAGACGCGACUGGCGUUGAGGUGGCUACCACCGGGGAGCGCUGCGAACCACCGACACACACGACACUGGGACCGUUCGCCUGGGCCCCACGU
rnacentral:ncRNA from 20 species